GCCCCAUGGGAACACGGUCCGAUCCCGAAAUUGGCCCUGUAUUGGGCGCUUAUUUUACGACAGCGUGUGAGGGUGGCUUCCGACAGGGGGUUGUUUGGAGGGGGGUCGUUGGCUUCCGACGACGUUUUUUAGCGUCGUCUUAGGCCUGCGACUACACCGACGCGUAUUAGCGUCAUUUUUUGCCGACGCAUUUUACAAGCGUCGCCAAGUUUAGACGUUAGACUGAAAAUUGCCGACGCUUGUAAAAAGCGUCGGCAAAAAAGCGUCGGUAAAAUCGACUUUUCCUGUUGUGACCAGACCAUGAGUUAGUCAAGUCUUUUGGCCCAAAUAGUCUAAUUUGGACCAAUGCGAUUGGUUUUCGGGUGAGCUUUAGAUCAAGCUAACAUUUUGAAAAAAUCUCGGGCCUAAGCCUAGCCCCGAGCCCAAAAAAAAUUUGAUCUGGAUUCCAACAGAAGCAUAGCCCAAUCUUGUCCGACCUCGUUCUAGCCCUACAUUCAAUGAAUAAUUUGUAGAUUCUCGAUUGUUUUGUGAAUUAAUCAUAAAAUUCAUAGAAAAUAGGAAUGAUUCAUGAUUAAUUCAAGGAAUCCUAAAUUGUUCAUUAGACAGAAAGAAGGUUUAUGGUGCCACAUGAGAUUCUAGGUAAUGAUUGAGGCAGGCCUAAGGCAUAUAGGGAUGAGUAGGGGUGGCAAAAUAUGAUCCGACCCGCCAACCCGAUCCGUGUUCGACCUGCCAUAAAUAAGUUUCAGUUUGGCCUAAAUAGAUUCGGAUCGUAAACAGGUUGACCCGUUUAAUAUGUUUAUUAGUUAGGUCGGAUACAUAUUUUAGAUGUCUGACCCAUUUAACCCGUUUAAUAUAUGGAGCACUUUGGGUGAAUAGAAAAGACGUUUCUGAAAAAAUACACGGUAAAACCCCUUUAACUCUAAACCCCUCCAUCAUCCAUAGCCGCCGGUUCCUCUAGGGUUUCUCCCCUUCGUGUCCUUACUCUUCCAGAUUCUCCUCCUUCUCCGUUAGGGUUAGGUUUUCGCCAAUGGCAGGCCGAGCGUUAAUCUCGAAGCUCCCCUCCGUCUCCCUCUCUCCCCUCUUCUUCUCUCGAUCCUUCGCCUCUCGAGCUCUCACCUUCGCUCGUCCUUCUUCUCUCCUCCGCCUCCGCACCCUCCUCCCCCUUGUCGACUCCCUCUGUCUCCCCAUCGGCGGCGGCUGUUUCGGCGAGGUCCGGUGCUUCUCAACCCAGCCAACGAUGAGGUCGGUGCUUCGGCAAGGUCCAGUUUCCUUUCCCCUCCGCUAUUUCCCUCGGAUCUCUCUUUUUUUAUUUCUUUUAAUUUUUUGAUUUCUGUUCUCAUGUGUCUUGGUGUUUGUUGAUGCGUAGCUGUGAGCGCGAAGGAUCGGGCCGGCCUUGUUAAUGCUUUGAAGAACAAGCUCUAGAGUCUGGCAGGGAAGCAAUCCGAUGUGCUGGAGACCCUCUCGCUGAAGGUCCGGAAGCGUGUUGAGGUGCUGAGGGAGAUCCAAGUUUGAUUUUUUUUCCCCAUCUCGAUCCCUUAUGUUUUUCGUCUCCCAAGGUUCCUUCUUGGUGCUUCUUCUUUGGGGUUUUACAGAUUUAGGAUGAGUUCUGAAGAAAUUUUUAAUUAAACAGAUUAAACAGUUCAGGUCGGAUUGGACUAAAUAGGUUAAACAGGUCAGAUCGGGUUGGGCAAACAGGUUAAACAGGUCGGAUCGGGUUGGGUUUAUUAAAUAGGUUAAACAGGUCGGAUUGGAUUACCUGUUUAUUAAACAUGACAAGUUCAGGUUGUAAUUCUUAAUAAACAUGUCGGAUUCAGGUUUAUGAUUUUCUGAUCCGACCUACAUCUGAUUCGACCCGUUUAUGUCUGACCCGACCCGAUUGCCACCCCUAGGGAUGAGUGGUUUGAUAUGGGAGAUAUCUUUUGGAAGAUAUCUUUAUAGAAGAAAAUAUGGGUGAAACUUUUACCACUUCCCAACUUUUCUUUUUUGCCUUCGUGACUUUUCUUCCAAAAGUUUUUUUCUUCAAAAAAAAAAAGAUUAGAUAUCUUCCUCUUAUUCUCAUUCAAAUAUAGGCCUACAAGUGGAUUGAUCUAUCUCCAAUCUAGAACUGAUUCGAAACCCAUUUAUUCCAACCAGCACCAAAGUUACAUGGAUUAGGUUUGGAUUUGAAAUCAUGACCUGUUCUAAAAAUGGAUUAAAUUUGGAUAUUUAAAUUUCCAGUUUGAAUCCGCACUAACCUAGAGCGAUUGAAAACUAGUAUACUAUAUAUUUCAAUACUAUGGUUUAAUAUAAGAAAUAUAAGUCUUUUUCUAAUGAUAAACUCAACUCAACUAAGCCUUAAUCCCAAUCUAGUUUGGGUCGACUACAUGAAUCCUUUUCCUCCAUUCCUCUCGACUUAAAGUAUAUUUUCUGAAAAAUGUAACGAUUUCAAGUCCUUCUUUAUUAUUUACCCUAUGUAAUUUUUGAUCUGCCUCUAUCCCACUUUUUUUCCAUAUGCAGGAAAUUACUCUUUUGUACCAGUAGGACCUUGCCUCUUCAGGAUCAGUGUGUUGAAUGUCUGCUUCCAGCCCCGUGGGAUCGUAGAGGUAGUGAAAAAGUGCAGAACUACUGCCAUCACAUCCUCCCUGAUGAUAUGCUAAUAUCUUUUUAAGAAAAUAGGAGAAAAUGCAUCUAGCCCCGAGGUUUUGUCCUCACCUAAAGACCAGAGAGUCUCCGGAACCCCCAAAGCUGAUACUAGGAUGAUCAAGGCUGCAAAUCCUAUGUAAAUUAUGUUUUUGAUAAUGUUAAGAUUUAGCAUGCUAUUAUUCUAUUGUACAAGAUAUUUAUGAUAUAAUUAGAUAAUCAAUUUGUUUAUUAUGAUUUGUGUUUGAAUUAUUUUUGACCUGAUUUGAAUAUGCAUUGCGUUUGGAUUGUUCCCACCCCCAAUCCUACCCGUCUUGCUCGUAGCCUCUACUUGUAAGCUUUUCCACUUCAAUCCUACUCUCUUCUGUGCAUUUUACUUCUUUUCAACCUCCCACUGUAUAUUGUCUGGCAACUCUUCUUCAUAGUUCCUAGGUUUGAUACACUUUUACUGAUGAAAUAUAUAAGAUUUCUAAAUAGAUAUGAGAUAUAUAAUUCUAAAUAGUGACAUGCAUUAUAUAAUUCUAAAUAAUUACAUACUAACAUAUUUUGAUUUUUGAACUUUAUUGAAUUUUUGCUGAAUUAUUUCUUAAUCUUGUCAAAUUGUUUCUGAAUGCUAAACUUGUGGCCAGGAUGGGAACAAGUUUAGGUUGCAGUAGCGGCAACCUUGUUUUUUUUGUUUUUUUCAUAAGAUGGAUAUAGGAUGUAAA